rnacentral:rRNA from 1 species
UCUGGUGCCAGCAGCCGCGGUAAUUCCAGCUCCAAUAGCGUAUAUUAAACUUGUUGCAGUUAAAAAGCUCGUAGUUGAAUUUCUGCUGCAUCGUGGUUCUUCGCUAUGUCGAGUGAUCUUCGUUGUGGCUUAGUUGGGGCAUGUUUUCAUGACUCGACGUUUACUUUGAGAAAAUUAGAGUGCUUCAAGCAGGCUUUUGCCUUGAAUACUUUAGCAUGGAAUAAUGGAGUAGGACUUUGGUUCUAUUUUGUUGGUUUUAGGAGCCGGAGUAAUGGUUAAUAGGAACAGUUGGGGGCAUUCGUAUUUGACUGUCAGAGGUGAAAUUCUUAGAUUUGUCAAAGACGAACUACUGCGAAAGCAUUUGCCAAGGAUGUUUCCAUUAAUCAAGAACGAAAGUUAGGGGAUCGAAGACGAUCAGAUACCGUCGUAGUCCUAACCAUAAACUA